CCGCUGGUGGGCCUGGAAGGCCGCGCCGGCCUGUUGCGCCGGCUGGGCGAGGUGGUGCAGGCCACCCCGGCCGUC
rnacentral:tRNA from 1 species